rnacentral:lncRNA from 1 species
GAUGAGACGCAACACAGAGGAAUCUCAUGUCGCUUUCGUAUCCGAUAACCAUGGUUGUGAAAGAUCCAUUUGGAUUCUUCUCAAUCUCGACGAUCAAUUGCCUUCAUUCGAUUCAGAUCAUCACCAAGAAUCAAAAGGAUGAGUAUAGGCCAUCACAUUGACACUCGGAUACUUCCAAGAUAAUUUAGAUUUUUGAUUAAUUUUGAAUAAAUUAUCAAAGAAACUCGAUCCUCGAUUUCUUGGAGAAGAUUAAAAAAUUAAUCAAAAAAAGAAUCGGACCAACAACAUCUAUAGUCAUAGUGUGUAGAUAAAUUACAUUUCGUGCCUCGUUCUCAAGAUUACGAUAUAGUACUUUCGCGCCGUUAGGAGGUCACAACAAUUUUAGAGAAAAGAAAGCAUCAACUUGUCGCCCGAUCCUCAUAUUCUUUCGUUGUGCGUUGUAGGUUGCGUCGUAGGUGAAAUAAGAGUGUUUCGUUCAACAAUGAAGAGAACAUAUACAGAGAUAGGAAAUCUAAAGAAGAAGUUGAAAGAUAUACGGAAGCAAAUUAGAUUGCUAGAAAAACAGGAGAUCUCAGACUCUUCGGAAUCGGAUAUAUCUAAUAUAUCUAAUAUCGGAAAAUGCAAAGGAACCUGAUCAGGAUGAGGGGACCUUAACCGCUAAUUGUUUUCCCGUGCUUUUUCAGCGCGCUUACACGUAAGACAUGCUGAGAAGGAUUUUGUCCAAUGCGCUUGCACGAGCGGCAAGAUAUAUUGGAAAUAAAACAUAAUCUGGAUUUCUAAAGCGCUUGCACGAGCAGCGAGACAGAUGAAGAAGUGGUAAGAAAUAAUCGUGAGCCAAUCGUCCAAAAAGACGCUAAUGCAACACCCGAAAUUCUCAACAGUGAAGAGAAUUCUUUAAAUAACAGUACUAGAAAUUUUAGGAGAGGAUCCUGCAGUUCCAAAAUCCUUGUCCGUGAAUAUUCACCCAACCUUUUUACAAAGAUGGAAAUAUCGGAUUACUAAUGGCGUACCAAAGAAGGAUAAAGAAGAGUUGCUACAGAAAUAUAUCAGGCCAGAGGAACUGGAAGCACCAAUUCUAAAUCCAGAAAUUGUGGCUAGAGGAAUCUGCCUAUAAAAGGGAUUCUUACAAAAGAGGAACACGGAAGUUGGCUGGUUCAGCACUAACGGUAAUCGGUACUCACAUUAUGUAGUCAAGAGGAGAAAAAGGUAGAUAAGAUGGAUGUACUUGAACAUUUGAUAAACGCAGCCAAACUACUUGCAAUGUUACACUACCUACACACAGAAUGUAGGAAGGCAUUUAUAAUGCCUGGUUUGGCAAAGGAAAUUAAAGCAAUCAUACAGAAUAUUAAGUCAGACACAUUUUUAUUCGGUGAUAAAUUAGGAGAAAAAAUUAAAGAGGGAAAAUCUUUGGAAAGAAUGGGAAAAUCUUUCAAAGUCCAGUCUCCAAAAUGGUUGGGUCCAUCAAGAUCCAGACUUCAAUAUUUCGGAAAAAAAUAGCAAGAAAUCACAGACAAUAGGUCAAUUUUAGAUUAUGUUAGAGAUUAUAAAAUAAAAUUUGAUAAGAAAGUUUCUCAGGGAAA